UGUUUCUCUUCUUUUUAAUUUAGUUUUAGAAUUUUUUGAAUAUAAUGAGAAUGAUUCAGACAGUAGUACCAGUGAAAGUGCUAGUCACACUCACCAGGAGCUUGAGUUACCUAAAGAACCUUUUCAAUUACGACAAGAAAAUUGCUAGUCAUUCACUUGAAGUACCUGAAUUUGAUAUUGGCAGCAGUCACAGACUUAUUGACACAAUAUUAUCAGUUAUUAAAUGAGCUGUUUAUAUUACCAAGAACUGUCCUCUUAAGCAAAUAAAAGAAAUUAGUCAGAGUUCAACACUGUAUAAUAUUGGGUGUGGUCGAUGUAAUAAGCCCAUCCCACCUGCUAAUAUAAUGUGUCAGAAAUGUGAGAGUAGACUUAAUAUCUGCUCUGUGUGGUAUAUGAUACACAGACAGCUCAGCAGCGUACUAAAGAAUCAUACUCAGUCAAUGCACUUUAUUCUGUAGCUAGAGUUAGGUGGAGACCACAGAACAGGAAUCACUU